rnacentral:rRNA from 1 species
GCAUCUCCUGUGCGUGGAAAGAACUUCGGUCAAGGAUGGACUCGCGGCCUAUCAGGUAGUUGGUGAGGUAACGGCUCACCAAGCCUACGACGGGUAGCCGGCCUGAGAGGGUGACCGGCCACACUGGGACUGAGACACGGCCCAGACUCCUACGGGAGGCAGCAGUGGGGAAUAUUGCACAAUGGGCGCAAGCCUGAUGCAGCAACGCCGCGUGAGGGACGACGGCCUUCGGGUUGUAAACCUCUUUUAGCAGGGAAGAAGCGAAAGUGACGGUACCUGCAGAAAAAGCACCGGCUAACUACGUGCCAGCAGCCGCGGUAAUACGUAGGGUGCGAGCGUUGUCCGGAAUUAUUGGGCGUAAAGAGCUCGUAGGCGGUCUGUCGCGUCUGCUGUGAAAACCCGAGGCUCAACCUCGGGCCUGCAGUGGGUACGGGCAGACUAGAGUGCGGUAGGGGAGAAUGGAAUUCCUGGUGUAGCGGUGGAAUGCGCAGAUAUCAGGAGGAACACCGAUGGCGAAGGCAGUUCUCUGGGCCGUAACUGACGCUGAGGAGCGAAAGCGUGGGGAGCGAACAGGAUUAGAUACCCUGGUAGUCCACGCCGUAAACGUUGGGCGCUAGAUGUGGGGACCAUUCCACGGUUUCCGUGUCGCAGCU